GUACACGUGACCUCAGGCCGGUGGAAUCCUGGUCCUUCUGCUCCCUACAGAAAUUCACAGCCUGAUUGAUACAACACCAUUGCAAAUAGUUAUGCAAAGCAAGUUACCAGUUUGCUAAACAAAUGGAUACAAGCUGAGGCAAUGGAAAGAUUGUUGCACCACUUCACAUGUAUCAGAUUUGUUUUCCAGAUACCCAAACUAAUGCUCUGCAGAUAUGAGUUCGUAUCUCACCAUGGGAAGGAAAUCUGACCUCAAUCUGAUCUGCAUCUGACUACGGACCCACAGUAAUGUGGUUGACUCUUAACUGCCUUCUGAAAUGACCAAGCUACCUACUCAUUUCAAGACCAAUAAAGGAUGGGUAACAAGUUCUGGAUCCUGCUAUAAAUACUCAGAUUACUUGUAGGAAUAAAAUAAAAAAAAACUUGUUUCUGUGCACCAGCUUAACAGUAGGUUUCAACAGAUUGUUAAGUUUAACUUAUUUCAAAUGGUGUUGAAUCGCAUGAACAGACAAAGGCUGCAUAUAUCACUACGUAUUCAAGUUCUUGCUUGAUAGCUAUUUUGAGGUAUGGACCCAUACUUUUGGGAGCUUGCAGAAUGAACAGUUAACUUAUUGGAACAGUGAGGAGGGUUCAGAGAUGCUUCAGUGUGAUUUAGACAUUGAGUGACUGGACAAAUACAUAGCAAAUGAAGUAUAAUGUGGAUAAAUGUGAAGUUAUCCACUUUGGUAGUAAAAACCGGAAGUUAGAUUAUCUGAAAGGCAAUCAAUUGGGAAAAGAGUAGGUGCAAAGAGAUCUGGAUGUCCUCGUACACCAGUCACUGAACAUAAUCGUGCAGUUGUAGCAGACAGUGAAGAAGGCAAAUGACCUUCAUAGCAAGAGGAUUGGAGUAGAGAAAUCUUGCUGUAUCAGUUAAGACUCUAUUCAUUGAAGUUUAGAAUCACGGUGGUGGAUGUUCUCAUAGAAACCUAUAAAAUUCUAACAGAACUGGAUGGGGUAAACAGAGGGUGGAUAUUCUUAAUGACCAGGAAGUCCAAACCAGGAAUUACAGUAUAAGGACAUGGGGUUAGCCAUUCAGAACUAAGACGAGAGAGUGGUCAGCCUGUGUAAUUAUCUGCCACAAAAAGCAGUUGAGGCCAAAGCAUUGAAUGUUUUCCAGAAGCAGUUAGAAAUAGUUCUUAGAUCUAAAGGGAUCAAAGGACAUGCAGAGAAAAUGGGCAGAGGAUGCUAAGUUGGGUGAUCAGCUAUGAUAAUAUUGAAUGGCAAAGCAGGCUCAAAGGACCAAAUGUUUAACUCCUGCUCCUAUUUUCUAUAUUUCUAUUAAGUGCUGGGAUUCAACUGGAAUUAGGUUGUUUACAUCUUUUUGAAUCAAAAUAUGUUUUUUGACAGAAAAGUUAGCCAGAAAAUACGGGUGAAGUAAUUGAAACUGUAACUGAAGUAAGAGAAGUAGUUGAUUGAGGAAAGGAGAUAUCAGAAGGUCAGAAUUCUGAGAUGCACGAAAUCAGGAAUAUGUGAUGAAGUUAAAAGUAGUUUGUUAGGCACAAAAUUAUUUUAGGUGAGAGAUGACACAAGAAGAGAACCUUUAAAUAUAAAACAGUAACAUGAAUAAAGAGUAGGAAAUCAGAAAUUGUUUGAACAAUAACUGGAAGUUUUCUUUUAACAAAAGACAGUGAUGAGAUUAGUGAUCAGGUAAGAAAAAAUAAAUACUUUGAGACAUUAUUCACGCAUUAUUAAGAAAACAUUGGAUUGGAAACCACCAGUUAAAUUUGAUGAUAUUAUAAUGGGUCAAGAAGCAGACAAAGAAGAGCAUGCACAUAAUGUGAUACGACACUGGUUUAAAGUUAGGAAACUGAUGGAAUCCAUCCGUGGUGGUCAGAAAGUAUGGAGUGCAAGUCAUCAAACUGCAAACCAAAGAAGAUGCAUUGGACUUUUUUAAGCAAACAAUAAAAAGAGCAAACUGCUUUUCAAAGCUGUGAAUAAAUGCUCAA